CAUGAAGCAUAAAAAAUGACAUCAAGUAUAAUAAGGAGCAUUAUUAUAACUUAAUUCAAUGAAGAAUAGAGUGAUACUUGAAAUAGAAAAUUAUUAUUUUAUUGGCUGCUAUUUAGUCCCAAUGUUUAGUUCUGUUUAUUUAUGAUGAGCAGAUAACUAAACUAAAAGAUGAACUUGAGAUGUAGGACUUUGGAUAAGUUCACUGCAUUACAGUCAGGAAGAAAAUCUUUGCACUAAUGAUGUUCUAUUAUCAACCACGCCAACUGAUGAUGAACUUGAUUUUGAGGCAAAGUGUUGCCGAUUAGAAACGUAACUAACAAACUUGUGAAGAAUAAUUUAACUUAAUUUAAAUGUAUUUUUUUUUUUUUAAAUGCACAGUAGUAAGAAAUGUUCC